rnacentral:rRNA from 1 species
GAGUUUGAUCCUGGCUCAGGAUGAACGCUGGCGGCGUGCCUAAUACAUGCAAGUCGAACGAGGUGCUUUUGUAGCAAUACGAAAGUAUCCUAGUGGCGAACGGGUGAGUAACGCGUUGGUGACCUGCCCCAAAGUGUGGGAUAACAGUCCGAAAGGACUGCUAAUACCGCAUGUGGUUAUUGGCUUUAGAAACCGGUAACUAAAGGAGCAAUCCGCUUUGGGAGGGACCUGCGUCCCAUCAGCUAGUUGGUGAGGUAAUGGCUCACCAAGGCUACGACGGGUAGGGGACCUGAGAGGGUGACCCCCCACAAUGGAACUGAAACACGGUCCAUACACCUACGGGUGGCAGCAGUAGGGAAUAUUGCUCAAUGGGCGAAAGCCUGAAGCAGCAACGCCGCGUGUGUGAUGAAGGCCUUCGGGUCGUAAAGCACUUUUCUGGGAGAUGAGAAAGGACAGUAUCCCAGGAAUAAGUCUCGGCUAACUACGUGCCAGCAGCCGCGGUAAAACGUAGGAGGCAAGCGUUAUCCGGAUUCACUGGGCGUAAAGCGCGUGCAGGCGGCGCGGUAAGUUGGGUGUGAAAUCUCCCGGCUCAACUGGGAGAGGUCAUUCAAUACUACCGUGCUUGAGAGCAGAAGAGGAAGAUGGAAUUCCCGGUGUAGUGGUGAAAUGCGUAGAUAUCGGGAGGAACACCAGUGGCGAAGGCGAUCUUCUGGUCUGUUUCUGACGCUCAGACGCGACAGCUAGGGUAGUAAACGGGAUUAGAGACCCCGGUAAUCCUAGCCGUAAACGAUGUGAACUUG